rnacentral:rRNA from 1 species
CCUACGGGGGGCAGCAGUGAGGAAUAUUGGUCAAUGGGCUUACGCCUGAACCAGCCAAGUCGCGUGAGGGAAGCCUGCCCUAUGGGUUGUCCCCCCCUUUUGUCCGGGCGCCACGCCGGCUACGUGUAGCCGGACUGAGAGUACCUGAAGAAAAAGCAUCGGCUAACUACGUACCAGCAGCCGCGGUAAUACGGAGGAUGCGAGCGUUAUCCGGAUUUAUUGGGUUUAAAGGGUGCGUAGGCGGAAUGCCAAGUCAGCGGAAAAAUCGAGGUGCUCAACC